rfam:Lactobacillus concavus DSM 17758 NODE_144, whole genome shotgun sequence.
UACAAGGUUUUUUUCAAAAAACCAUCAAUAUUUACCAAAAAAAUCAUG